GCCUGGAUAGCUCAGUCGCUUAGAGUAUGGUGCUGAUAAUGCCAAGGUUGCAGGUUUGAUCUGAGGAGGGGGGCGGGGGCGGACAUAUUCCUGCAUGGUUCAGGUC